rnacentral:tRNA from 1 species
CAAAAGAUAAGCUAAAUUUAAGCUAAUGGGUUCAUACCUCAUUUAUGGAUAAUAUUCCUCUUUUUA